UACGUAGGGUGCAAGCGUUAAUCGGAAUUACUGGGCGUAAAGCGUGCGCAGGCGGUUUUGUAAGUCUGUCGUGAAAGCCCCGGGCUCAACCUGGGAAUUGCGAUGGAGACUGCAAGGCUUGAAUCUGGCAGAGGGGGGGUAGAAUUCCACGUGUAGCAGUGAAAUGCGUAGAGAUGUGGAGGAACACCGAUGGCGAAGGCAGCCCCCUGGGUCAAGAUUGACGCUCGAUGCACGAAAGCGUGGGGAGCAAACAGG
rnacentral:rRNA from 1 species